AACGAACGCUGGCGGCAGGCUUAACACAUGCAAGUCGAACGAUAUAGUGGCAGACGGGUGAGUAACGCGUGGGAACCUACCCUUCAGUACGGAAUAGCUCAGGGAAACUUGAAUUAAUACCGUAUACGACCUCCGGGUGAAAGAUUUAUCGCUGAAGGAUGGGCCCGCGUUAGAUUAGCUAGUUGGUGAGGUAACGGCUCACCAAGGCGACGAUCUAUAGCUGGUCUGAGAGGAUGAUCAGCCACACUGGGACUGAGACACGGCCCAGACUCCUACGGGAGGCAGCAGUGGGGAAUCUUGGACAAUGGGGGCAACCC
rnacentral:rRNA from 1 species